GUCUUUAAGAAAUUAAUUUAAAGUCAAAUCUGCCCAAUGAAUUAAAUUUAAAUGGCUGCAGAAUUUUUACUGUACAAAGGUAGCAUAAUAAUUUGUUUUUUAAUUAAAAACUAGAAUGAAAGAUUUAAUGAAAUAUAAACUAUUUCAAUUAUUUUUUUUUAAUUUUUUAUUUAAGUAAAAAAACUUAAAUAAAUUUUGAAGACAAUAAGACCCUAUAGAAUUUUAUUUAAUAAAUUCUAAAUUAAAAUUUAUUAAAUUUUAUUGGGGUAAUAAAAAAAUUAAAAUAAUUUUUUUUUAAAAUUACAUUAUAAAUGUACAAAUUAUCUUAAUUUUUAAAUUAAAAAAAUUAAUUACCUUAGGGAUAACAGCAUAAUUUUUUUUAAAAGAUCUUAUUAAUAAAAAAGAUUAU
rnacentral:rRNA from 1 species